rnacentral:rRNA from 1 species
AAAGAAAUCAACCGAGAUUCCGAUAGUAGCGGCGAGCGAAAUCGGAACAGCCCUUAAGCUUAUUAUGUGUUAAUGGAAGGCUCUGGAAAGUGCCACGAUACAGGGGGAUAGUCCCGUACAUGAAAAGACAUUUUAAGUGAAAUCGAGUAGGUCGGAGCACGUGAAACUUUGACUGAAUAUAGGUGGACCAUCAUCUAAGGCUAAAUACUCCCAACUGACCGAUAGUGAACCAGUACCGUGAGGGAAAGGCGAAAAGAACCCCUGUGAGGGGAGUGAAAUAGAACCUGAAACCGUGUACGUACAAGCAGUAGGAGCCUACUUGUUAGGUGACUGCGUACCUUUUGUAUAAUGGGUCAGCGACUUAUAUUUUGUAGCGAGGUUAACCGAUUAGGGUAGCCGUAGGGAAACCGAGUCUUAACUGGGCGAAUAGUUGCAAGGUAUAGACCCGAAACCCGGUGAUCUAGCCAUGGGCAGGUUGAAGGUUGAGUAACAUCAACUGGAGGACCGAACCCACUAACGUUGAAAAGUUAGGGGAUGACCUGUGGCUAGGAGUGAAAGGCUAAUCAAACCGGGAGAUAGCUGGUUCUCCCCGAAAUCUAUUUAGGUAGAGCCUCGGACGAAUACUUACGGGGG